CAAAACUUUGGUCGGCACUAGGCUAUUGUAGAAGACACUUACCCAAGGUGCCACGCAGUGGGACUGAACCCAGAACCAUAUGGUUGGUAAGCAAA